AGUGGAAUAGCUAGGUCAAAUGGUGGUUUCAUUCAAAGUUUUCUGAGGAAUCUUCAUACUGCUUUCCAAAAUGCACCAAUUUGCAGUCCCACCAGCAAU
rnacentral:pre_miRNA from 1 species